UAUAAGUACUUCACGAAACGCUUACGGGAUCUCUUUUAUCUGCAAUUUCCAACUUGUUAACUCAGUUAGUUUGCUGGCGAAGUUCACUGGAAGGGACUGCAGAAAAAAAAAUGGAACUCCUAUAUGCAGACCAGAAAUGGAAUCCUCUACACCAGAACAUGGCUUCCUGUAACGCCUAUAUGCAGACCAGAAAUGGAAUCCUCUACACCAGAACAUGGCUUCCUGUAACGCCUAUAUGCAGACCAGAAAUGGAAUCCUCUACACCAGAACAUGGCUUCCUGUAACGCCUAUAUGCAGACCAGAAAUGGAAUCCUCUACACCAGAACAUGGCUUCCUGUAACGCCUAUAUGCAGACCAGAAAUGGAAUCCUCUACACCAGAACAUGGCUUCCUGUAACGCCUAUAUGCAGACCAGAAAUGGAAUCCUCUACACCAGAACAUGGCUUCCUGUAACGCCUAUAUGCAGACCAGAAAUGGAAUCCUCUACACCAGAACAUGGCUUCCUGUAACGCCUAUAUGCAGACCAGAAAUGGAAUCCUCUACACCAGAACAUGGCUUCCUGUAACGCCUAUAUGCAGACCAGAAAUGGAAUCCUCUACACCAGAACAUGGCUUCCUGUAACGCCUAUAUGCAGACCAGAAAUGGAAUCCUCUACACCAGAACAUGGCUUCCUGUAACGCCUAUAUGCAGACCAGAAAUGGAAUCCUCUACACCAGAACAUGGCUUCCUGUAACGCCUGAAACUGCAGACCAGACAUGGAUGAGAAAAAUACAGUCUGUCGCUAACAACUGUAACUGCAGACCAGACAUGGAUGAGAAAAAUACAGUCUGUAGCUAACAACUAUAUGCAGACCAGAAAUGGAAUCCUCUACACCAGAACAUGGCUUCCUGUAUCGCCUGAAACUGCAGACCAGACAUGGAUGAGAAAAAUACAGUCUGUCGCUAACAACUGGAACUGCAGACCAGAAUGGAUGGGGAAAGUACAUCUUGUAGCAAGCUAGCUGGCACUGCUCGUCGUGACUCCAUUCUUCCAAAUUGUCUCGUUGACUAGCGACGCCUGGGCUUCAAGGUUGGGGGACAGCAGACCAGAAAAGGACAGUGUUACACUUGCAUUUUGUGAAGUUGUUGCAAGAUUGUAUUUAGGAUGACACUAUCCCGAACAUGAUUGACAACACUGUCAGACCUGACUUCUGAAAUGCAAUUUGCAACCAAAUGUGUUAGCAGGAUUAUGGGGAGAAUAGCUUUAUAAAGGUUGUAACAAGGUGUUUUCUUUCAUUUAUUUAAUUCCUAGUGACUGUCUUCGCAAGGGUCAUUGUGAUCUUUAUCAUACAAUGGAGCUGGCCAUCACUACAAAUGUGGAGACCGCAUUAUUGCCUUUUCAUUUACAAGUAACUGGAUGUUUGAAUUUAAUAAAGAUAAUUUAAAUGCA